UAUGGGGGUGAUUUUGGGGGUAAUUUUGGCGAUUUUGGGGGUAGGAAAUCCUUGAAGAUAAUUUAGGGUUGGGGGGAGAAUUUUGGGUGCAAAACCUGCGAUUUUGGGUGCGAUAUCGGCGAUUUUGGGUGCGAUAUCGGCGGUUUUGGGUGCAAUUUCUGGAAUUUUGGGUCCAACUGCAGGAAUUUGGGGUGCAAUUUCAGCAAUUUUGGGUGUGAAUCAGCAAUUUUGGGGGCGAUAUCAGCAAUUUUAGGCCUGGAUCAGCAAUUUUGGGUGGAAUUUCAUCAGUUUUGGGUGCAAUAUCAGCAAUUUUAGGUGUGAAUCAGCAAUUUUGGGCACAAUAUCAGCGAUUUUGGGCACAAUAUCAGCAAUUUUAAGUGUGAAUCAGCAAUUUGGGGAAAAAUAUCAGCAAUUUUGGGCACAAUCUCAGCAAUUUUGGGCACAAUAUCAGCGAUUUGGGGCACAACACCAGCAAUUUUGGCACAAUAUCAGCAAUUUUGAGCACAAUUUCAGCAAUUUUGGGCGAAAUAUCAGCAAUUUUGGGGCACAAUCUCAGCAAUUUUGCACAAUAUCAGCAGUUUUAAGUGUGAAUCAGGAAUUUUGGGCACAAUAUCAGCGAUUUUGGGCACCAUACCAGCAAUUUUGGCACAAUAUCAGCAGUUUUGAGCACCAUUUCAGCAAUUUUGGGCGCAAUAUCAGCAAUUUUGUCACAAUAUCAGCAAUUUUAGGCGUGAAUCAGCAAUUUUGGGGAAAACAUCAGCAAUUUUGGUCACAAUAUCUGCAAUUUUAGGUGUGAAUUAGCGAUUUUGGGCAAAACAUCAACGAUUUGGGGCAAAAUAUCGCCGAUUUGGGGCAAAAUCUCAGCAAUUUUGGCACAAUAUCAGCAAUUUUGGGCACAAUAUCAUAAUUUUGGCACAAUAUCAGCAAUUUUAGGUGUGAAUCAGCAAUUUUGGGGAAAAACAGCAAUUUUGGUCACAAUAUCAGCAAUUUUAGGUGUGAAGUAGCGAUUUUGGGUUAAAUAUCGCCGAUUUGGGGCAAAACAUCGCCGAUUUGGGGCAAAAUCUCAGCAAUUUUGGCACGCCCUCAGCAUUUUGGGGCGCAAGCUCAGCGAUUUCGCGUCUCCGGGGUGGGGAAAUCCCCCUCGGGCCGCGCCUGUGCCGUGACGGGGGUGGGGGGGGCGUCUAUUUUGGGGUAAAACGCCACUAAUUUGGGUCUUUCUCCCCCCCGCAGCCUCCCCGGCCCCGCGCCGCCCCGCCGCCAAGGAGCCUUC
rnacentral:lncRNA from 1 species